rnacentral:rRNA from 1 species
GGCUUAACACAUGCAAGUCGAGGGGCAGCAUAAGGUAGCAAUACUGAGAUGGCGACCGGCGCACGGGUGAGUAACGCGUAUGCAACCUACCUAUCAGAGGGGAAUAACCCGGCGAAAGUCGGACUAAUACCGCAUAAAACAGGGGUCCCGCAUGGGGAUAUUUGUUAAAGAUUUAUCGCUGAUAGAUGGGCAUGCGUUCCAUUAGAUAGUUGGUAAGGUAACGGCUUACCAAGUCUACGAUGGAUAGGGGUUCUGAGAGGAAGGUCCCCCACACUGGUACUGAGACACGGACCAGACUCCUACGGGAGGCAGCAGUGAGGAAUAUUGGUCAAUGGGCGGGAGCCUGAACCAGCCAAGUCGCGUGAAGGAAGAAGGAUCUAUGGUUCGCAAACUUC